rnacentral:rRNA from 1 species
CUAGAUCAGAAGCGAGAAUGUUGACAUGAGUAGCGACAAAGAGGGUGAGAGACCCUCUCGCCGAAAGUCCAAGGGUUCCUGCUUAAAGCUAAUCUGAGCAGGGUAAGCCGGCCCCUAAGGCGAGGCCGAAAGGCGUAGUCGAUGGGGACCAGGUUAAUAUUCCUGGGCCAGUGGGAUGUGACGGAUGCUUACUGUAGUUCGGUCUUAUCGGAUUGACCGGGCUGCUGCGGUGUCCCUGGAAAUAGCCCCACAUCAGACCGUACCCCAAACCGACACAGGUGGACAAGUAGAGUAUACCAAGGCGCUUGAGAGAACCACGUUUAAGGAACUCGGCAAAAUGCCUCCGUAAGUUCGCGAGAAGGAGGCCCUUCUCAUGCGCAAGCAUGGGGAGGGGGCACAAACUAGGGGGUGGCGACUGUUUACUUAAAACACAGGGCUCUGCGAAGCCGUAAGGCGACGUAUAGGGUCUGACGCCUGCCCGGUGCUGGAAGGUUAAAAGGAGGGGUGCAAGCUCCGAAUUGAAGCCCCAGUAAACGGCGGCCGUAACAAUAACGGUCCUAAGGUAGCGAAAUUCCUUGUCGGGUAAGUUCCGACCUGCACGAAUGGCGUAACGAUCUCCCCGCUGUCUCAAACGUGGACUCAGCGAAAUUGAACUGUGUGUCAAGAUGCACACUACCCGCGGUUAGACGGAAAGACCCCAUGAACCUUUACUCCAGCUUCGCACUGGCAUCAGGAAUGUGAUGUGCAGGAUAGGUGGUAGGCAUUGAAACGGGGACGCCAGUUCCCGCGGAGCCUCCCUUGAGAUACCACCCUUCGCCUUCUUGAUGUCUAACCGCGGUCCGUCAUCCGGAUCCGGGACCAUGCGUGGUGGGGAGUUUGACUGGGGCGGUCGCCUCCCAAACAGUAACGGAGGCGCGCGAAGGUUGGCUCAGAGCGGUCGGAAAUCGCUCGUUGAGUGCAAUGGCAGAAGCCAGCCUGACUGCAAGACUGACAAGUCGAGCAGAGACGAAAGUCGGCCAUAGUGAUCCGGUGGUCCCAAGUGGGAGGGCCAUCGCUCAACGGAUAAAAGGUACUCUGGGGAUAACAGGCUGAUGAUGCCCAAGAGUCCAUAUCGACGGCAUCGUUUGGCACCUCGAUGUCGGCUCAUCUCAUCCUGGGGCUGGAGCAGGUCCCAAGGGUAUGGCUGUUCGCCAUUUAAAGAGGUACGUGAGCUGGGUUUAGAACGUCGUGAGACAGUUCGGUCCCUAUCUGCCGUGGGUGCAGGAGACUUGAGAAGAGUUGACCCUAGUACGAGAGGACCGGGUUGAACGAACCACUGGUGGACCAGUUAUCGUGCCAACGGUAGUGCUGGGUAGCUAUGUUCGGACAGGAUAACCGCUGAAGGCAUCUAAGCGGGAAGCCCCCUUCAAAACAAGGUCUCCCUAGAGAGCCGUGGAAGACCACCACGUCGAUAGGCCGGAGGUGUAAGCGCAGCAAUGCGUUCAGCUGACCGGUACUAAUUGCUC